rnacentral:ncRNA from 1 species
AUGAUGGAUACGGGAGAGACUGCAGAGUGUGCAGCACCGAAGGAAUAAGCUGGUAUUAGCCAUAAUAUCGGCGAUGAUCUCAGGUAAAGAGGACCGCAUCUGGACA